GAUGAACGCUGGCGGCGUGCCUAAUACAUGCAAGUCGAGCGAACGGACGAGAAGCUUGCUUCUCUGAUGUUAGCGGCGGACGGGUGAGUAACACGUGGAUAACCUACCUAUAAGACUGGGAUAACUUCGGGAAACCGGAGCUAAUACCGGGUAAUAUUUUGAACCGCAUGAUUCAAAAGUGAAAGACGGUCUUGCUGUCACUUAUAGAUGGAUCCGCGCUGCAUUAGCUAGUUGGUAAGGUAACGGCUUACCAAGGCAACGAUGCAUAGCCGACCUGAGAGGGUGAUCGGCCACACUGGAACUGAGACACGGUCCAGACUCCUACGGGAGGCAGCAGUAGGGAAUCUUCCGCAAUGGGCGAAAGCCUGACGGGGCAACGCCGCGUGAGUGAUGAAGGUCUUCGGAUCGUAAAACUCUGUUAUUAGGGAAGAACAUAUGUGUAAGUAACUGUGCACAUCUUGACGGUACCUAAUCAGAAAGCCACGGCUAACUACGUG
rnacentral:rRNA from 1 species